AAUAUGCAGUCCCAGGAAAACCUUUAAAAAGAAAAUCCAUUGAAAAUCAAAGUCAAAGGGAGAAACAACAAAAGUAUGAAGAACAUCGACCGGAGAGGAAACUGAAUGCAAAAUGGCAGGAAGGUCGACCGUGGCUAACAUUUGAUACAGUGGAAAAUACAAUGACGUGUUCAUUACGUGUGUCUUACUAUGGGAAUGCAAGUAGAAAUGAACAUGUACGUGCACAAAACAGUAAUAUGAAAGGUCAAAAUCGUUUUCUGAUUGGUUGCUCAAAUAGAAAAAUAUCUGCUGUUAUCGAUCACGAAAAGAGUAACAUUCACAAGAAAGCGAUUAAGGUUAGUCAUGCUCAAACUGAACCUGUUGACAAAUCCAAAGCAGUAAAAACUUUAAGAGCAUUAAAACAAGAGAAUGUUGACAAACUUCAAAUUUUGUUUAGAAAUUCACAUGCAGUAAUUAAAAACAAUAGGCCAAUCAGUGAUUACAACAUGUUGUGCCAGUUGGAUAAGACAAAGGGGUUGGAUUGUUGCAACACAUAUCUAAAUGAGAAAGCUGCUGUAAAUUUCCUUCAAUUUAUUGCAUCUGUUGAAAUGGAUAACACCAAAGAGAUGUUACAGUGUAGAAAGGGCAAAUUUUUUCUCGUUGGAUGGGUCCACAGACUUGUCAGGAGAUGAACAAGAAGUUAUAUAUCUCCGAGUUUCUACCAAAGGGCAAGUUGUUGAUCGUUUUUUGGUUAUUGGAUCACCUGAAAGUACAACAGCGAAAGAUCUAGAGCAAUUUGCUAUUAGUAUGUUUUCAUCCUAUGGAAUUGAUACAGCAAAACUUAUAGGAAUGGCAUCUGAUGGUGCCUCCAAUAUGGUUGGUGUAAAGGGAGGCCUAGCCACACUUCUUCGACAAGAUAUUAAUUCAGAGUUGGUUAAUGUGCACUGUCUAGCUCAUCAUUUAGAACUAGCAUUCCGUGAUGUUCUGAAGAAAAACAAAAUUUACGAUAAAAUUAUGACAUUGAUGGUAGGAUUGUAUUACUUUUAUAAAAAGUCAUACAAUAACAAGAAGUCAUUGUUAAACAGUAUUAAGGUUUGCCAAAUUGAUGGACUAAUGCCACCAAAAGUCACGCUGGUUGGCCCAUUUAUCUAGAGGCAUCAACUCAUUCAUCAGCACAUACCGGGCUUAUAAAGUAUCUUUAAGCACUUUGUCCCACAAGAAUCCAAAAGCUGAAGGGCUUGUUAAGAUAAUGCUGAGAAAGGAUGUCAUCUGCUUCAUGCUUUUUCUCAAGGAUAUCCUGGAUCCACUGAUGAAACUAUCCUUAACACUCCAAAAACCGGAAAAUACCCUAGCAGACAGCAUGAUCUAUGUUGAAGCCACAGUGGGUCUUCUUCAAGAUUGUAAACCAAGGUAGUAAAUUCACUGUCUAUUUCAUUGACAGUAAAAUAUUCCAAUGGCUGACCUGUG